rnacentral:rRNA from 1 species
CCUACGGGAGGCAGCAGUAGGGAAUAUUGCACAAUGGGGGAAACCCUGAUGCAGCAACGCCGCGUGGAGGAUGACGGUUUUCGGAUUGUAAACUCCUUUUGUUAGAGAAGAUUAUGACGGUAUCUAACGAAUAAGCACCGGCUAACUCCGUGCCAGCAGCCGCGGUAAUACGGAGGGUGCAAGCGUUACUCGGAAUCACUGGGCGUAAAGAGCGCGUAGGCGGGAUAGCAAGUCAGAUGUGAAAUCCUAUGGCUUAACCAUAGAACUGCAUUUGAAACUGUUAUUCUUGAGUAUGGGAGAGGUAGGUGGAAUUCUUGGUGUAGGGGUAAAAUCCGUAGAGAUCAAGAGGAAUACUCAUUGCGAAGGCGACCUGCUAGAACAUAACUGACGCUGAUGCGCGAAAGCGUGGGGAGCAAACAGGAUUAGAUACCCCUGUAGUC